AGAUGGGUACUGAGACACGGACCCAGGCCCUAUGGGGCGCAGCAGGCGAGAAACCUUUGCAAUGUGCGAAAGCACGACAAGGUUAAUCCGAGUGUCUUCUGCUAAAGAAGUCUUUUGUUAGUCAUAGAACCACUGAUGAAUAAGGGGUGGGCAAGUUCUGGUGUCAGCCGCCGCGGUAAAACCAGCACCUCGAGUGGUCAGGAGGUUUAUUGGGCCUAAAGCAUCCGUAGCCGGUUGUUUAAGUUUCCGGUUAAAUCUAUACGCUUAACGUAUAGGCUGCCGAAAAUACUGGACAGCUAGGGAGUGGGAGAGGUACACGGUACUCAAUAGGAAGGGGUAAAAUCCUUUGAUCUGUUGAUGACCACCUGUGGCGAAGGCGGUGUACCAGAACACGUUCGACGGUGAGGGAUGAAAGCUGGGGGAGCAAACCGGAUUAGAUACCCGGGUAGUCCCAGCUGUAAACGAUGCAGACUCGGUGAUGCAUUGGCUUGUGGCCAAUGCAGUGCCGCAGGGAAGCCGUUAAGUCUGCCGCCUGGGAAGUACGUACGCAAGUAUGAAACUUAA
rnacentral:rRNA from 2 species